UGGGGGAUAUUGCACAAUGGAGGGAACCCUGAUGCAGCGACGCCGCGUGGGUGAAGAAGCGCCUCGGCGCGUAAAGCCCUGUCAGCAGGGAAGAAAAUGACGGUACCUGAAGAAGAAGCCCCGGCUAACUACGUGCC
rnacentral:rRNA from 1 species